GAAGAGAUGGUAGAGAAGGCAGAAAUCUCUUGCAGGAGAGUGUACCUUGUGACUUGGCUUGAGGUCUGAGCCACAGAAGACCCAGCCAGAGGCAAACAGCCUGCAGGAGGUGCUGGAGACAAGGGCUCCUGACACAAGAGGGUGCUAUGGGUGAGGAUGAACUGAGCCUUACUCCUGAGGGGAUAAAUUAUGCAUGUCUCACCCAGGCCUGCGGUCAGUGGGGUGGUACUGUCACAGGUCUGCAGCUCUGUGUAGCCCUAGGAAUGUUCAAAAUGCACUAAGGCCCCAACCGUCCAACCCUUAGGCACACAGGGCCUAGCACAAGGCGGGCUUGAUCCCUGUUGGGGCCCCUAGCUGUGGCCAUAAUACAAAAUAACAGGAGCUGGGGACUUUGGAAAAUCCGGGGGCGAGGGGAUGAGACUAGAGCCAGUCUAAGACUUCCCGCCAAAUCUGCAGAGAAAGCUAAGCUUGAGAUUCUCCACAUUGCCUUGCUUCCAGUGCCCUCAGCUGUGACCUGGAGGGGCUGCUUUCCCUAGAGCUAGCAGAUGUCAGUUCAGCCUUGCUCCUUUCUCCAGUACAAAGGGCAAGCUGUGCUAAAUGUGGUGUUAUGAGAACUGAGCUGCAACUAGCAAACUUUUACCACGUGUUCGUGUUUGGGCAUGAACAAGGGAGGCAGAGGGCUGAGCUCUAUGCUGUCUCUGCUAGGUUGAGUCAUCCAGAAAACACAAUGCUGCAGUGUCUACUGGAGGGGAAGGAAAAUAAAGUCGUCAUUUAAAAACAUCCGCAGGUAAGAUUUUCAAAAGGACAAGUGAGGCUGAGUGCCUCAGGUUGUGGGGUGGCCAAUUGGAGAUGCCGUAAAGGGGGAGGUAGUAUUUCCCAAUGGGUAGUGCACCAGAAUGGGAUACAGGAGACCUGUAUUCUUUUCCCUGGUCUGCUGGGUGACCUUGGUCAAGUCACUUUACUACUUUGUGCCUCAAUUUCCCUAUAUGUAACUUCCUUUGACUGACUUCCUUUGUAAAUACUUUAAGACCCACUGAUGAGAACAACUAGUUAUUAUUAUAAAGGGGCCUGAGUUUCAGAGAGUGGGUGCUCAGUACUCCCUGCACUUCAGGCCUCAAAAGUGAGUAACUAAAGGCUGACAUCUUGGCCACUCAUAUUGGAUCUCCGCCUGACACCGAUUAUAUUUUACCAUUUGAAACAAAACAGUGUCCGUACAACUCAGUUUCCUGUGCAUGGUGGGAAAGCACUUGCAGUUUCUUUGCAACUGGAGUCAAUGAAGGGAUAAAAUAAAAGCAGGGGAAAAAAUAUUUGGGGAGGUGUUAUGUUUAAUGCUGUCUGCCGGGCUGCAGUCCAUGUCUGUUUCUGGCUGAUUCUUCCUGUGUGGCAGUAUUGUAAUAGGAUUCUCCCAUAUUAAUAUUUUAAAUGAAUAAAUAAAUAUCUGAUGAGAGAUACUGUGCAUCUUGACAACCUUUUCAUAAAAUCUGGGAGGAAAAAAAAAGUGAGAAAAUUAAAGAAAAGAUUGAAACUGUCCAGAUGAUUUAUUUUUCCCUGUGUUAAAUUCUCUCUCUCUAUCCAGGUUUUUAUACUGUGCCUAUCGAUGUUGUUGCCUACAUCUAUUUUGAGAGGCAAAUAUAUUCUAUCAGACCAUUCAUUUCAGAAAGACCAUACAUUCUGGACAUCACAUGGGGUCCUGAUCUCAGUUGGGGCUGUUAGCUGCUAUUGUGCUAUAAAUUGUAAUUGAAUACCUCAGUAUAUUAUUAUUAUAAGGAUGUCCGUAUUUAAUAAGGGCUCCAGCCAUAUGUGAUCACUUUAUUUGGCCCUAAUCUUUUUCAGGAAAUACAUCAGCUGUUUUCUGAGGGUUUCACUUUUUUUCCCCCAAGCUGUGUGUUACAAAGCAAAGAUCUGACAGCCAGGAGCCAGGAAGACGAUGUACCCUUAUUAUCAGUGAGAAAGUCAUGCUGAAAUCACAAGAUUUUGGAAAGAAAAGUACUGCCCCACAUAGAUCAAUAUAAAUGGUAGCUGUAAGACAUUGAAAAGGCAUGAGAAAGGUGCAAUACUCAAAGAUGAGCUGUAAUAUUAUUCACAUCAUUACAUCUAUGAAAUUCUGUUACUAGCAGGGAUUAUUACGCUGACACUGAGCCAAUUUGUGCCAUAAGGAUGGGCCAGUGUGUAGGAUCCGAACCGAGGCCUUGAGACCUAAGUUGAAUUCUGCAUUCUACCACUGACCUUGGUAAGCCAUUCAACCUCUAUAUGCCUCAGUUUCCCAUGUGUAAAAUGGGGAUAACAACCCUGUCCUAUUUCACCAGAUUGCUGAGACUAAAUACAUUAGCAAUUUUGAAGUGUUUUGAGAGCUACUGAUGCAAAGUGCUAGAUAAGAGCUAGAUGUAAUUAUAAAUUGAUCGGCGUACAGAAUGAGAUUUUUGAAAGCACUCAACGUUGACCUGAGUCUGUUCCCCACUGAGUCAAUGAUUAAAACUCCCACCCGUUUUAUAGUGGAGCCAGAGUUGGCCAAAUGCUGAGUGCUUUUUGUAAUCCCACUCAUGCUGCCUGUGUACGUUGGGUUUCCUUCUGCGCUCACAUCAGUGUAGCGCUUAUGGAGUUAUUCCCAGUUUACUCUAGCAUAAGCGAGAGGAGAAUUAAGAUGAGCCCUUAAAGAAGUGCAGUUCAUUUACAAAACAAAAUGUUUAAAUACAUUUAGUUUAGGCUUGGAUUUUUAAUUAGGCCUAAGGGAAUUAGAGGGCCCAAUGUCCAUUGACCUUCCCUGGGCAUUGGGUAGAGAGGGUCACAAAAUGGUAACAUUUUUCAUGACAGAGUUUAUCCUAUCAAAAAUAUCUAGCUUUGAAAUAGCUUGACUAGCUCUAGAGUUGGGCAGAGGCUUUUGCCACUCAUUUGC